GACUUCCUCCUAUCUAUGACUUUAUGAGUUUUUUUCUUUAAAAAUUGUUGUUCAAAAAUUACCAAUGUGUGAAAUAGUGAUGUAGUGAUGAAAUAAUUGUUUGUUAAUAUCCUAAUAGCAUAGUUCAAUAAAUUACAUAGAGCACUGUCACGUAAAAGGGGGGAAAGAACCAUUUACCGAAGUAGGUGAACAAGUUAAAUCAAAUACUUGGACCGCACUGUAUAAAGGCCAAAAGUGUACCAGCAAACAAUGCAUUUCAAUCCAGGAGGUGGCACUUAAUUACCUCUCUUAUCUUUUAUAUAUUUACACAAAUACUUCGUACAAAUAAAGAUACUUGAAGCGUGAAAUUUUAUCAUCUUGAUAGACUUCUCUUUACGAUUGCUGUUUGUGAUUUUAAACUGUCUUGUCAAACACUUGCUAUGGAUAGCUCUAUAUACGUGAAGAAUGCACUACACACUUAGCAACAAUGACAAAGAUAUCGUAAGUCACAACAGAGAAUAAGAGCUCGAAAGAGGGUAACGUUUAUACGAGGCAGAAAGUCCAGUGACCGAAUGCAACUCUACACUGUUAAAAGGUUGAUGCGCAACUGCACACUGCACAGUAAAGAGAAAAGCCCGGAGGGCAGCUUCGCUGCAGGGCAUACCGGGGUAAGGGUGAUGGAACGAAACGGGGCUGAGCUCAGGGGCCUGGCACCUCAAUGCAUCGAUCGCCGUUUGGUCCUUUUCUCUCCGUUUCAACGCCCUAAACCACGCUACGUAUCGCACUGACGUAGCUAACGAUCACAAUACCCGGCUGCACUAGGUCUCUCGUAGUCAUUAACCACGCUUUUCUUUAAAUCCCCAAAAUGAAAAUGAAAUUUCAGUAAAUAUUAAAAUAUGAAUAGCGUUUAAAUAUUUGGUUUCACUAUCCGAUAUAUAUAUACAUAAAUUAUAUUACUUUUCGUGUACACUACGCUUCUUAUUUGAAAAAAUAUCCUCAGGGAUACAAACAUGUAAAAUAAUUGAGACAGCAGCUCCUCUCGGCUUUCUUAUACAACAAUUUACCGCUAAUAAUACUAGUUAAUUGAUGAAUAAUAAGAUAUAGACUUUUUAUGAUUUUACAAUUUUUAAAUAAAAUAAUUUGUAAUUUAUAAAAUUUCAUUAAUUUUGUUACCAAAUUUAAUGAUAUUAUUAAUAUUGGUAUCUUGUGACUCAUAAAAUUGAACAAGAGAGCUCUAACCAUGGUUCGGAAUCAAAUCUGGUCAGCUACCAAGGGAGAGUCUUGUCCAUUACUAAAGAUUUAGAGAUAUAAUGUGUUACCUAAUACUCUCUGAGAUAAUAAGGCUUUAAAGUCAAUACAAUGGAAUGAAAAUG